UGGCCCCAUGAACAAGAAUAGAUUUUGAAACAAAAAAUGGUAGAAAAAGAGGAGGGGAAAGAGAGCAACGCUGAGAUGUGUUGGCAUCCAUCAUAUUCCAUGGAGAAUGUUAAAUUUUGAUGCUCCAACAGUGUCAAUAAAACCCCGAAUUGAUACCUCUGGUACAGAUAUAUUUUCACUCAGCAAUUCAUGGUCUAUAAAGAUGACAAUCACUGUUAUAUCAUCGUGAAAAGCCCGUCUGCUUCCCUUGUCUAUUUUCUUAAGUUCAUCAUAUAUCAUCUCCCCCUUCCCAGCCGCCUCUUUUAAAGCUGUUUUAACAAGCCUUUUUGCAAUUCCAGUACGUGGAUAAUUAUACACAAUCUCCACAGCCUCCUGGUUUGUCAUGUGUUCCCAAAGCCCAUCAGAUGCAAAUAUGAGAAAUUUAUCGUUGGCUUGUAAAACUCUUGAAUACAUGGAUGGGUCUGAUGUCAGCACAGGGCGGCGAAUGGGGUCAGGAAGGUGAAAUCUUGGAAAUGAAGGAUCAAGUGAAAACUCUGGCCUCUUCAAGUANNNNNNNNNNNNNUAGAUACCUGAAUAAUGCCCUUGAUGCGCCAAGCACCAUGCUUCAUAACUACAAUACGUGAAUCAUCUGGAUGCAAAGAUUUGAGCUCUUGUCUAACCUCUUCCAAACAAGCA
rnacentral:misc_RNA from 1 species